rnacentral:rRNA from 1 species
CCCUGCAUUGUCUAAGUAUAAGCAAUUAUACCGUGAAACUGCGAAUGGCUCAUUAAAUCAGUUAUCGUUUAUUUGAUAGUACCUUACUACUUGGAUAACCGUGGUAAUUCUAGAGCUAAUACAUGCUUACAACCUCGACUUCGGAAGGGGUGUAUUUAUUAGAUAAAAAACCAACGCCCUUCGGGGCUUCUUGGUGAUUCAUGAUAACUUUACGGAUCGCAUGGCCUUGCGCCGGCGACGGUUCAUUCAAAUUUCUGCCCUAUCAACUUUCGAUGGUAAGGUAUUGGCUUACCAUGGUUUCAACGGGUAACGGGGAAUUAGGGUUCGAUUCCGGAGAGGGAGCCUGAGAAACGGCUACCACAUCCAAGGAAGGCAGCAGGCGCGCAAAUUACCCAAUCCCAAUACGGGGAGGUAGUGACAAUAAAUACUGAUACAGGGCUCUUUUGGGUCUUGUAAUUGGAAUGAGUACAAUUUAAACCUCUUAACGAGGAACAAUUGGAGGGCAAGUCUGGUGCCAGCAGCCGCGGUAAUUCCAGCUCCAAUAGCGUAUAUUAAAGUUGUUGCAGUUAAAAAGCUCGUAGUUGAACCUUGGGUCUGGCUGGCAGGUCCGCCUCACCGCGUGUACUUGUCCGGCCGGGCCUUCCUUCUGGAGAACCUCAUGCCCUUCACUGGGCGUGUUGGGGACCAGGACUUUUACUUUGAAAAAAUUAGAGUGUUCAAAGCAGGCCUUUGCUCGAAUACGUUAGCAUGGAAUAAUAGAAUAGGACGUGCGGUCCUAUUUUGUUGGUUUCUAGGACCGCCGUAAUGAUUAAUAGGGACAGUCGGGGGCAUCAGUAUUCAAUUGUCAGAGGUGAAAUUCUUGGAUUUAUUGAAGACUAACUACUGCGAAAGCAUUUGCCAAGGAUGUUUUCAUUAAUCAGUGAACGAAAGUUAGGGGAUCGAAGACGAUCAGAUACCGUCGUAGUCUUAACCGUAAACUAUGCCGACUAGGGAUCGGGCGAUGUUAUUUUUCUGACUCGCUCGGCACCUUACGAGAAAUCAAAGUUUUUGGGUUCUGGGGGGAGUAAGUCCAACU